GUAAUGGAAAAGCAGUACAAUUGGGAGGCUUUUAUGGGUUUUGACUGUCAAUGAAAAGGAGCACGCCAGGAAUGAAUGGAAGACAUAGCAGCUACAGGACAGAUGUAGCGUGGUGUGAUAAGAGGUUAAGAAACUGGGUUAAAGAAGAUGUUGGAAAAAAUAUAAAUUCAAUAGAAUCAAGGCGGAUUACAAGACAAAGGCAUCAAAAAUACAAAAUACACCAGCCAUCAAAAACAUCACAAAGCAGGCAAGAAUGAUAUACAGCUCAGCAGCAAGAAAAUGAAGACUAGUGUGAAGAAUAAAAGAUAAAAAUAUUUCAGAAUUAACUACAAUUCUCCUGAACGUACCAUAAACAAAGAAAUUUCACCAUAUCCUAGCUAUGAGAUAAACUUUUCCAAGCAGAGACUUUAUGUUUCUUUAACAUAUUGCCAGGAAAUAAGUUUCACAUUUAACUCAUCAUUUCAGUAAAGGAAAAAUUAAUUUCUGAAUUCCUUAUGAGAGAGCUAAAGCACUACGGAAAGAACUGUUCUCCUUAAGAAGCAAUGGGGAAGAGGGAGGAAUCAUCACCCUGAACUACAAAAUGAGCAAAAAUUAAGCUAAAUUAAAAGAUAAGACUCAUAUGAGCAUUUGAUUAAAACUGUGCAUAGUAGUUCACCUUUUGUACAACAAGGAAGUCUACUAAAAAAGAACUGAACUUACAAAAGCCAUUGAAGAAGGUUCCAUGGGGCCUUGACAGAUCACAUGCUGGCAGCACUACUGCUGGAUUCUCAGUGGAAAUCUGGUUUGGUAUAAUUAACAAAAGGACUUGAACUACAGAAAGACAAGAGUAAUUUUUUUAACAUCAAAAAAAAAAAAACAGAGAGAGUAUAGAGCUUUUUUCAUUAGCCAAAAUGACUGAUCGUGCAUGCAAAGUUAAUGCACAAAAGAAGUGAGUGAGGGCUAGGGGGAAGUUGAACUGCAUGAUGAAUUUAUGUGGCACUUUUGUUCACAGUGGGUGGUAAAUUACAAUGACGUCCCCAUCACCACCACCUCCAAUGCAUGUUCCUUCCUUGAUCCAUCUCCUUUGUAAUUUAGGGAGAACACAUCUGUUAAGAGCGGAGAUAGGAAUUAUGUGGCCCUCCAAAUGAUAUUAGUCUUCAAGUCCCCCUGUCCAAACAGGCCUAUGAUGAGGAAUGCUGAGACCUGAAGGCCAACAUCUGGAGGGCUACAUGCUUCCAACUCCUUGUUAAGAUACUAGACUAUGUCUUCAGAGAUCUGGGUUGACAGAUCUACUCAGCUAUUAAAUUCACCAGGUGUGACCCAGCCUAUCCUUGUUUGUGGUGUUAUUAUGGGGAUACAAAUGGGAACGAACAUUGUGAACUAACUGCCAGACACAUGUGACAUGCAUGUAACAAAAUAAAUAAGAGAGAUCUUCGAGUUGCUCAGAUUGUUAAGGAUACCAGAUCCAGAAGGUAUUACGACUCGGGGUGUUAUUGAGUUACUGCUUUUCCCACACAACCCCACUUUGGACAGAGCCAAA